GGCUUUGCUUUGGGCUUCCCCAAAAGGCCUCAUACCAAUAGAGAUAGUAUUCCUCAUUUAUAAACCCAUUAUCCUCCAUUAAAUUAACCAUGGGACUCACUCUCAAUAAUCCUCAACAUCAUUCCUGUUUGAAAGCACUUCUGUUUUUUUGAAUUUUGAAUGAUUUCCCUUCUAGCUGAUUCUCAUAUCACAUCAUCGCUUGUUUCGUUUCAUUUUUCUUUGAUUUUGAUGUUUUGGUUGCAUGCACAAAACACUCGGAGAAGACAAGAUGGAGGAAUGGUUUCACAAUUUGAAGGCUAAUGCUAGACUUCCGGACAAAAUUUGGUUCAUUUUCACAUGAAAUCUGACCAAAUAGACGGGAACUGAAGCAUUUGGUUUAACUACAUCCAACAAAAUACAGUAAAGAGCUUGAUCGCUGAUUCUCCUCCGGGUGCUCCCUUUGGAGGCAGCCUUGAUAUUAGAAGACUCUUACAGAUGUGCAGUGGCAG